rnacentral:tRNA from 1 species
GCCGAGAUAGCUCANUUGGUAGAGCAGAGGACUGAAAAUCCUCGUGUCNC